AUUCCAUGAUGAAGACAAUCUUGAAUGUAUCCAUGCAAAUGCUCUCUGGCUUCUAAAAUGGUUUCUGUCUUCUGCUGUUGCAAAUUGGUACUCUUUCCUCUCAAGGC
rnacentral:snoRNA from 1 species